CAUUAAGUGGCUGAAAUGGCUAAGCAUUGGUCUCUUAAACCAAAUUAUGGUAAAUUAACAAGUACUCUUAAUGA
rnacentral:tRNA from 1 species